rnacentral:rRNA from 1 species
AACGAACGCUGGCGGCAUGCCUAACACAUGCAAGUCGAACGAGACCUUCGGGUCUAGUGGCGCACGGGUGCGUAACGCGUGGGAACCUGCCUUUAGGUUCGGAAUAACUCAGAGAAAUUUGAGCUAAUACCGGAUAAUGUCUUCGGACCAAAGAUUUAUCGCCUUUAGAUGGGCCCGCGUUGGAUUAGCUAGUUGGUGGGGUAAAGGCCUACCAAGGCGACGAUCCAUAGCUGGUCUGAGAGGAUGAUCAGCCACACUGGGACUGAGACACGGCCCAGACUCCUACGGGAGGCAGCAGUGGGAAUAUUGGACAAUGGGCGAAAGCCUGAUCCAGCAAUUGCCGCGUGAGUGAUGAAGGCCUUAGGGUUGUAAAGCUCUUUUACCCGAGAUGAUAAUGACAGUAUGGGAGAAUAAAGCUCCGGCUAACUCCGUGCCAGCAGCCG